ACUGCCAAGGACUUUUUAAAUCAGCUUAUGCGCAUGGUCCCUUCCACCUCUGACCUUCAACAUGUGGCCCUUACCGUAGCCCUAGUAGGGGCCGUGGUAGUAGGGCUAGCGUGCCUUUUGCCUUUUCUGGUGCGCAGAGGAAUCAGCGCUUUGACGCUUCUCCAAGCAGACCUACAUGAGGUCAAGCUCAAGGCCGGCCCACAAGGGCCUCUACAUGUUGUAUAGAAUCAUAUUUUUAAGCUUGAUUGCCUCCAUGGGAAGCAGACAGGUAGUCAGAGUGCUGCAUCUCGCCGCAGGGCGAGACUGGGUACUGGCUAGGUGCAGAGCAAAGCAUCUGCUAGGGAAGGCCUUAUAAUAAUUGGCCGCCUCUGACUUCCUCUGAAGGUAUGUCUGAUUUGCAUAGAGGUUGGUAUCAUCUAAUGAAAAUAUAAAAAGGGCUCUGCCUCUCCUCCCCAAAAGAUACCAAGAGCCUAAGGAGUGGCUGAUGAGCCACGGGAGGAAUCAGACCUCUACUUCCCUAGCCAGUUAAGGCCCACCCUGGUUCCUUUAUUAUAAAGGAAAGGGGGAGAUGUGGGAAACCGUGAGAGGCAAUCAGGUGUAUAAUCCAGCAACCUUGUUUUCCCCACUUAGCUGAAACCUUUUGUUUCACGUAUCUAGGUUUGAACAAUGUGGCAGGGUCAAGAAUGCAGUAUGUUUUCCAUAACAGGAACAAAGAUGAGAAAGUUAGCGGAGUGAGAAGUUCCG